rnacentral:rRNA from 1 species
CCUACGGGGGGCUGCAGUGAGGAAUAUUGGUCAAUGGACGGGAGUCUGAACCAGCCAAGUAGCGUGCAGGAUGAAUGCCCUAUGGGUUGUAAACUGCUUUUAUAUGGGAAUAAAAUGUUCCACGUGUGGGGUUUUGUAUGUACCAUAUGAAUAAGGCUCGGCUAACUCCGUUCCAGCAGCUGCGGUAAUACGGAGGAGCCGAGCGUUAUCCGGAUUUAUGGGGUUUAAAGGGAGCGUAGGUGGAUCGUUAAGUCAGUUGUGAAAGUUUGCGGCUCAACCGUAACCUUGCAGUUGAAACUGGCAGUCUUGAGUACAGUAGAGGUGGGCGGAAUUCGUGGUGUAGCGGUGAAAUGCUUAGAUAUCACGAAGAACUCCGAUUGCGAAGGCAGCUUACUGGACUGCAACUGACACUGAGGCUCGAAAGUGUGGGUAUCAAACAGGAUUAGAUACCCUAGUAGUC